AUUGAACGCUGGCGACAGGCCUAACACAUGCAAGUCGAGCGGUAGCACAGGGAGCUUGCUCCUGGGUGACGAGCGGCGGACGGGUGAGUAAUGUCUGGGAAGCUGCCUGAUGGAGGGGGAUAACUACUGGAAACGGUAGCUAAUACCGCUUAACGUCGCAAGACCAAAGAGGGGGACCUUCGGGCCUCUUGCCAUCAGAUGUGCCCAGAUGGGAUUAGCUAGUAGGUGGGGUAACGGCUCACCUAGGCGACGAUCCCUAGCUGGUCUGAGAGGAUGACCAGCCACACUGGAACUGAGACACGGUCCAGACUCCUACGGGAGGCAGCAGUGGGGAAUAUUGCACAGUGGGCGCAAGCCUGAUGCAGCCAUGCCGCGUGUAUGAAGAAGGCCUUCGGGUUGUAAAGUACUUUCAGCGGGGAGGAAGGUGUUGAGGUUAAUAACCUCAGCAAUUGACGUUACCCGCAGAAGAAGCACCGGCUAACUCCGUGCCAGCCGCCGCCGUAA
rnacentral:rRNA from 1 species